AUUGAUGGAGGCGAGUCUGACCAGCCAAGUAGCGUGAAGGAUGACUGCCCUAUGGGUUGUAAACUUCUUUUAUAAGGGAAUAAAGUGAGGGACGUGUCCCUUUUUGUAUGUACCUUAUGAAUAAGGAUCGGCUAACUCCGUGCCAGCAGCCGCGGUAAUACGGAGGAUCCAAGCGUUAUCCGGAUUUAUUGGGUUUAAAGGGAGCGUAGGUUGACAUAUAAGUCAGCUGUGAAAGUUUACGGCUCAACCGUGAAAUUGCAGUUGAUACUGUAUGUCUUGAGUGUACAAGAGGUGGGCGGAAUUCGUGGUGUAGCGGUGAAAUGCUUAGAUAUCACGAAGAACUCCAAUUGCGAAGGCAGCUCACUGGGGUACAACUGACACUGAGGCUCGAAAGUGUGGGUAUCAAACAGGAUUAGAUACCCUGGUAGUCCACACAGUAAACGAUGAAUACUCGCUGUUUGCGAUAUACAGUAAGCGGCCAAGCGAAAGCAUUAAGUAUUCCACCUGGGGAGUACGCCGGCAACGGUGAAACUCAAGAAAUUUGACGGG
rnacentral:rRNA from 1 species